GUCUACGGCCAUACCACCCUGAAUGCGCCCGAUCUCGUCUGAUCUCGGAAGCUAAGCAGGGUCGGGCCUGGUUAGUACUUGGAAGGGAGAUCUCUACUCCAUUUGGGAUUUACAACUUGUAACUGACC
rnacentral:rRNA from 1 species